rnacentral:rRNA from 1 species
AGCAUAUCAUUAAGCGGAGGAAAAGAAACUAACAAGGAUUCCCUUAGUAGCGGCGAGCGAAGAGGGAUUAGCCCAAAACCGAAUCCUGUAGCGCGAGCUAUUAGGAAAUGUGGUUUAUGGUUCUUUACCUACAACAAAUCGGAGCUGUCAUAAGUCCACAUGAUUGUGGCUUCGAGCCCGGAGAGGGUGCAAGGCCCGUACUGGCAGUACGAUUUGUUCUGGUGAAGUUCCGAGAGUCGGGUUGUUUGGGAAUGCAGCCCUAAGAGGGUGGUAAACUCCAUCCAAGGCUAAAUACAACACGAGUCCGAUAGUGAACAAGUACCAUGAGGGAAAGUUGAAAAGAACUUUGAAGAGAGAGUUCAAUAGUGCGUGAAACCGCUCAAGGAGAACCGGACAGAACUGAAGUGUGGCUGUCGUAUUUGCAUUUCGCUGUUCUCAUGUGAUGGGUGCGGAUACAGUUAAUCCUGAUCGGCCCGUUAUGUGCGGAGCAUCGUUACUGCUGUUGCGUGCGGUCAAACACCACGAUCAGUGAUGUAGUUGGCUUGUCAUGAGACAGAAGGUGGCUUGGUUCGCCAAGUGUUAUAGCUGUCUUUUACAACGCCAGCAAGACACUGUUAUGCUGUAUGACAUUGUAGUUGUCUAUGUCGGUUGGUGAUACGAGGGUGCUGGAUAGGCUCAUUUAAGAGACUAUUUGGUUACCAUUGAGUGUUGCUGGUUGGCCUCUAGCGACUGCAACAGAAUCUGUGGUGCAAGAGUAAGUAAUCUGUCCGACCCGUCUUGAAACACGGACCAAGGAGUUUAACAUGUGCGCGAGUCGUAGGGUGCUACGAAACCUGAAGGCGCAGUGAAAGUGAAGAUUUGUGCUUGUCGCAAGUCAAGGUGGGAUCCUGGCUACAAUGAGUGUGAAUUCAUGGGUUGGGCGCACCACCGGCUCGUCCCAUGCUUUAUCAAGUGGGGCGACGCAAGAGCGCACAUGUUGAGACCCGAAAGAUGGUGAACUAUGCUUGAGUAGGUUGAAGCCAGAGGAAACUCUGGUGGAGGACCGUAGCAAUUCUGACGUGCAAAUCGAUUGUCAAACUUGAGUAUAGCGGCGAAAGACUAAUCGAACCAUCUAGUAGCUGGUUCCCUCCGAAGUUUCCCUCAGGAUAGCUGGCACUCGGGAAACAAACAGUUUUAUCCGGUAAAGCGAAUGAUUAGCAGUAUUGGGGAUGACAUUUCCUCAACUGAUUCUCAAACUUUAAAUGGGUGAGAUGCUUGACUCUCUUUAUUGGAGUUGAGCUUUACUGAAUGUGAGUGCCUAGUGGGCCAUUUUUGGUAAGCAGAACUGGCGCUGUGGGAUGAACCAAACGUCUGGUUAAGGAGCCAAACAUAACGCUCAUGAGAUACCACAAAAGGUGUUGGUUGAUAUUGACAGCAGGACGGUGGCCAUGGAAGUUGGAAUCCGCUAAGGAGUGUGUAACAACUCACCUGCCGAAUCAACCAGCCCUGAAAAUGGAUGGCGCUUGAGCGUUGGUCCUAUACCCGACCGCUACCGUGAAUGGCAUUGUAUGCGGUAACGAGUAGGAGGGCGCCGUGGUGAGCAUAGAAGCCUACACCGUGAGGUUAGGUGGAGCCGCCACGGGUGCAGAUCUUGGUGGUAGUAGCAAAUAUUCAAGUGAGAACCUUGAAG